GUCCACAAUGAGCUUUGGGGUGAGGAUCCAGGUCCUGCUCUAGGCUGGUGUCUCAGACCUGCUGGGUUUUGGAUGCAUGACCAGCCCCAUCUUAGCUGCCUCAGUGUCACUGCACUUUGGGAGGGACCCAUACCCCAGUCUGAAGAUCAACCACCAUUGGAAGCCCUGGGAGCAGGUAUUGCUACCUGUGUUCUAGGCCAGGACACUGGGCUCAGAGAGGUUAAGUGACCUGCCCAGGGCUCCACGAUCAUGGGGGGCAGAUCUCAGGUUCAGGUCUCCCUGCCCCCGCAGCUGUUGUCAUGAGUCACACUGUUGUCCAGACAUUCGAGCUGCGUGUGGGAGGGGGGCAGGGAGGGGCCGAAAGGCCCAGAGCGAAUCAGAUGCAGCCAUCAAGGAGCUCAUGGCUGGAAUGGGAGGGCAGCCAGCAGCCCACAGCCCUCCUGGCAGGCGGAGGGCUCAGGGUCAGACCACGAGAAAGGGGCCCCGAGAGCUUCAGGACCCGGGACAGCGCCCACCGUCCCCGUGCUGCAAGCUGGGGCCAGGGGUCUCUGUCCCAUUCACUCACACUGCCCUCACCCCAGCACCGAGAGGCGGGCCAUGUGGACACCCUGGUCUGCAGAUGAGGGCUCAGAGAGGGGACGUGACCUGCCCGAAGCCACCAGCUCCUGAACUGUAGGACUCGAACUCCACGGCAGAGGCUGCUCUCAACCUCUCAGCCCUCACUGAUGCUGAUGAAACAGAGCUCCCCGCGCCCUGAGGUGGACUCAGCCCUCCUCACACGCCGGAUCCCUAAAGGAAGACUGGUGCAAACCCAGCCCCGACGCACCAUCUGUGCUCUCCCAUCGGUGCAGCCCAGGCAGAGCCCAGCCGACAGGACCCUGCACUGGCCUCGUGCCCAUCAUCUGCCAGAGUUGUGCCCACGCCUGCCCAGCCUGACCCGGACCAACCAUCCUCGUUCCUGAAGUUGGCCUCGUGUUGGACGGCGGCCGAGCACCUGCUCAGUUGUGAUCCGAACUCAGGCCUGGCCCUCCCUGGUCCCUCCACGUCCAACCUCCAUCCCCCCACCCCCAGGCUGAACAGAGGAGGGGAGGGGGAAUGGUGAAGCUGGGAGCCACAGUAGCAGCUGAAGGGAUGGGGUUAGAGUGGAGAAAGAUCCCAAGAGAAGCAGGAGAGAUCACCGGGAGAUAAAAGCUAGGUUGAAUUGUGUCCCUCAAAAAAGAUAUGUUGGAGUCUUAACCCCCAGGACCUGAGAACGGGAGCUUACUUGGAGACGGGGCCUUUCCAAGGUGCUCCAGGAGGAGCUGACCCUGCCGACCUUGGCCUCGGACUUCCGGGCUCCAGCACCGUGAGAGAAGAGAUGUCGGCCGUCCCAGCCGCCCCGUCUGUGGUGUGGCUGACACCAGCCCGAGGUGACUAACAGACCCAGGCCCCAGGUCCUCUCCUCCACUGACCCUCGGGAGUGGCGAUGCCCCCGGUGCCCAGGGCCUCCUGACAAAGAGCUCGUGGGUCCAGCGGAGCCUCAAGCCUCAUCUAGCCUAGGCCCAGGAACCCCCACAAGAGCAGAGAUGCUCGUCCCACCUCCACCCACCUCGCCCCAACAUCCUUGCUGCCCUGCACACCUGCGGGCCCUGUCCCUGCUCUCCCGGGAGCCCGGCACAAGACAGCGAGGGCCCAAAGGCUAGUGGCUGCAGACCAGUGGGGGCGCUGGCUGAUCACGGCUGUCGCAUCCACGGCCUCAUGAUGCAGGACCAGAGCAGGG
rnacentral:lncRNA from 1 species